UACAGGGGGUGCAAACGUUGCUCGGAAUCAUUGGGCGUAAAGCGCACGUAGGCGGUUCGUUAUGUCGGAUGUGAAAGCCCUUGGCUUAACCGAGGAAGUGCAUCCGAAACUGGCGAGCUAGAGUACUAAAGAGGAUCGCGGAAUUCCCGGUGUAGAGGUGAAAUUCGUAGAUAUCUGGAGGAACACCGGUGGCGAAGGCGGCAUCCUGGACCAAUUCUGACGCUGAGGAGCGAAAGCCAGGGGAGCAAACGGG
rnacentral:rRNA from 1 species